GAAGGAAUUGCCGAACAUCGUCAUAUAGUAUGUUUUCCUUCAACAAUCAAUCUUGCAUCUCCAACCGUGGAAUGAGUUACAUGUGACUCGAGACAAACAAACGGUGCAAUUGCAACAAUAUAAUUAGUAAGCUAUUAAAAUUUGCCAUAUCUUCAUGCCAACCACAAGGAUUCUGCUUUUUCACACACCUUCAUUAUUAAUGUGGUUCUUCAGGUAUGGUCACUAUCAGCAGCUUUACACACAGUGUGCAUUGUAAAUACACCAAUCCAAGA